rnacentral:lncRNA from 1 species
UCCACCCUCUCUCCUACGUUCAUUUUGUUAGAAUCUUCAGAGGUAGGGAAGAAGAGCAAGGAGAUAUCCAAGAAAGUAUGUAAGAUGUUCCCCUCCAUUAAUUGAUGGAAGCAACAAAAGAAAAGUUUCAAUAAGAUAGGUUACCCUUAUUGCAUUUUUCGUGUUAUUUUUCAUAUUAAUUACUGAUCUGAAAGUCAUUAUGUCUGAAUAAGAUUUACC